AACAAGUGGCCACACAAAUAAAGAACACAUUAUAUACUAUGAGAAGUGCUCCAGAAAGAAGAGUCCAGAGUAUGAAGUGGGGAAACAAGGAAGAUCCUAAAAGCCAUCCAUUUUGUGUGGCCAUUUUUUUUUUUUUUUCCUUCAGAAAGUCCACCUAACUUGGUAUAACUCAAGGUUUUGUUUUACCUAGUCAGGAACAGUAAAUGACCCUAUGGAACUACAACAGAACUGAUGGGUGAGCAGCCCAGGUGAGAAUCGUUUUCAACACCCAGCAUCCCCUGCGGUAAGCUGAUACAGAAGAGCGCGUCUGAGGCAGGGUUAACCCCGGACAUUACCUCAUGUGUCUGCUGAAGAACAGGACGUUGCCCUGCCUGCUCACCUUGAAACUUGAGGCCCAAACGUGGUUCCUCUUUCAUUACCCUGAGAACUCUCCUCCUUUCAGCUGCCGGUGGCUGUGAACUCUUUAUUCACCUGAACUUGGCUGCCACACGUGAUUUUACUAGAAGCAGAGCGAAGCCCUGAGCUGGGGCAGCAGGAACAAGCUUCCAGGGAGUACGUACUCUUCGAAGAUCUCCAUUGCCCAGAAGAUCACAGUCAAGGUACCCAGCACAUUCAAAAUGGCCCCUGCCUGUCUUCCUGCUCAUCGAGCCACUCUGCAUUCUCCAUAGAUAAUAGCUGCGCUGGGUUCCAUGUUGUUCUCCAAACUUCUCAAGCUGUUUCCUGCCUUGAGGUCUUGAUAUGAAUGGUUCCUUCUGUCUAGAUGCUCUCUUUGCCCAAGCAAUAUACAGCAUAGCAACGUGUCCUCCAAUCACAUGCAGAUUCCUCCAA